rnacentral:rRNA from 1 species
AUGCAGGGAGGGGAGGAUAAAAUCCUCUGGACCCUCACCGCGGAUCAUAAAUUCUCUGUGGGAUCCUUGUAUAGGAAAUUGGUAGCUUCUGGGAUGAAAUUCUCACAGAAAUACUUAUGGAAGAUUAAAGUGCCUGCUAAACUGAAAGUGUUCCUAUGGUUGAUUAAUAAAAAAAGCAUAUUAACUAGAGAUGUACUGCUUAAAAAGGGAUGGAAGGGCGAGAAAAGAUGUGUCUUGUGUGGGAAAGAUGAAUCAAUUGAUCAUCUAUUCUUUUCUUGCUCGGUUGCUUCUUUGUUAUGGAGUUUGGUCAGAUGUGUGUGUGGUUUUAAAACUGUGCCGUCUAGUGUGAAAGACUGUUUUGGAGACUGGAUUAGGAAAUUUAACAAAGAUGAUAAGAAACUGGUGCUGGUGGGGAUUUCAGCCCUGCUUUGGUCAAUUUGGAAAAGUAGAAAUGCAAUUAUCUUUGAGAAUAAAAGGAUAAAUGAUCCUUUAUAUGUUGUCAAGCUAAUGUGCAGGUGGUUAAUUGACUGGUCUAUUAUGCAGAUAAAGGAGCCACCAAGAAAAGCGUUGGAGCUGGGAGCAAGGGUGCUAGAGCAGGCAGCAAAUGAAGUGUUCACAGCCAAGCAGGGAUGGAGGAUCAAUGUGGCUAGAUUGGAAUGA